CCUACGGGGGGCAGCAGUGGGGAAUAUUGGACAAUGGGGGGAACCCUGAUCCAGCCAUGCCGCGUGUGUGAAGAAGGCCCUCGGGUUGUAAAGCACUUUCAGUGAGGAAGAACGCCUGGUGGUUAAUACCCAUCAGGAAAGACAUCACUCACAGAAGAAGCACCGGCUAACUCCGUGCCAGCAGCCGCGGUAAUACGGAGGGUGCGAGCGUUGAUCGGAAUUACUGGGCGUAAAGCGCGCGUAGGUGGCUUGAUAAGCCGGUUGUGGAAGCCCCGGGCUCAACCUGGGAACGGCAUCCGGAACUGUCAAGCUAGAGUGCAGGAGAGGAAGGUAGAAUUCCCGGUGUAGCGGUGAAAUGCGUAGAGAUCGGGAGGAAUACCAGUGGCGAAGGCGGCCUUCUGGACUGACACUGACGCUGAGGUGCGAAAGCGUGGGUAGCAAACAGGAUUAGAUACCCUUGUAGUC
rnacentral:rRNA from 1 species